CGCCGCUCUGCAUCACUCGGCUGUGUCACUGCACAGCUCUCACUGGAACUGCAGGACAGAGUAAAGCUCAAAGCACCAAAAGGCUGGAGCCACAGAGGAUUGUGGGUACUGUAGUCUUGCAGGUCAACGUUUGUGUCGCAAUGAAGAUGCAUACAGGGGAUUCGAGGGCGGUGAAAGGCAGCAGCUGUGUUCUUCAUCCUGGGGGGGCGUUGGAGGGUAUUUCCUGGGGCAGUUUCUGUGUGUGGCUGCAGCUCGAGGCUCUGCAGCUGUUUUCAGUGUGCGCGGCCUGAUUGUUGACUCUCAGUCUGAAGGUCACGGCGUGAUGCCGCCGGUCAGUGCACUGAAACUCAGCUGACUACCUCCAACCGGCCGCUGUGAUUGGCUGAGCCGGCUGUGUUACACAGACAGAGGAAGAGGCUGCAGGUAUUUGGUCUUCGCCACAGACGUAGAAGGAAAGGAGCAGACAGGAAAAACCAGCAGCUCCGUGCAUGAAAACUCUGACCAGGCCUCGGGCCUCAGACGGGGACCGGGCUGUUAUGUGGAGUAAAAGCGACAGACGCAGCGUGGGGUGGAAGGCUCUUCUUUAACGGGAACGUAAACUUGGAUCCAAACCUCACACACGGUCAGAGCGAGUCCGUGCGCGAUGUUGAGCGACCCAGUCCAGCACUUCCUGCUGAGGCCGCUGGUUUCUCCGAGAGGCCGCUGAGCUCCACCUGACCUCUGACCUCUCCAGGACCAUGCCGUCACCUCUCAGCUCAUCUCAGUCUGACCCAUCGGGACUCAAACGUCUCUGUUUGUGGCUCCAUCGCUGCUCCUCCCCUCCUCCUCCUCCUCUCCCCGUCAGCUGCGGCGACCUCUGCCCUCUGUCAGCAUCAUGCCGUCUCCCCCUGCUGGUGGCCCUGCUGCUCUGCGGCCUGCUGCUGAUGGUGCUGCUGCUGCUGUGGAACUACCACUGUGUGUUCAUCUCACGCCUCUGCUCCCCCCCGGGGGAGGAGGAGGGGGAUGUGGGGGAGAUGGGCUUGUGACCUCUGACUGUGUCAUUAAUGAUGGUGAUGGUGAUGAUGAUGAUGAUGAUGACGACGGCUCGGGAUGCUUUUCAGUUUUGAUAAAAAUGUAACAAUCAAAAUAAAAAAUCUUAAACGUG